rnacentral:lncRNA from 1 species
AUAUAUUUGUAAAGAUCCAAAAAUAAAUGACGCUACGCAAGAACCAGUUAACUGUACAAACUACACAGCUCAUGUUUCCUGUUUUCCAGCACCCAACAUAACUUGUAAGGAUUCCAGUGGCAAUGAAACACAUUUUACUGGGAACGAAGUUGGUUUUUUCAAGCCCAUAUCUUGCCGAAAUGUAAAUGGCUAUUCCUACAAAGUGGCAGUCGCAUUGUCUCUUUUUCUUGGAUGGUUGGGAGCAGAUCGAUUUUACCUUGGAUACCCUGCUUUGGGUUUGUUAAAGUUUUGCACUGUAGGGUUUUGUGGAAUUGGGAGCCUAAUUGAUUUCAUUCUUAUUUCAAUGCAGAAGUUUAAUUAUGAUGUACCUUGGUCAGAAGAAGAAAUGUAACAGCAGACACAGAGGUCACAGUGAUGUGAUUACUGCUUGGAAGGUGGAAGGAGGCCAUGAGCCAAGGAAUGCAACUGGCCUCUAGAAGGAAGCUCAGAAAGGCAAGGAAACAGAUUCUCCCAUAGGUGCCUCCAGAAGGACACAGCCUUAUAACACUUUCUCCUGAGCUCCUUGAGACUCAUUUUGAAAUUCUGUACCUCCAGAACUAUAAGAUAAUAAAUUUGUGUUGUUUUAAGGCACU